rnacentral:lncRNA from 1 species
AAAAAUGAUUCCUUUAUUUAUUCAGUAAGUUCAGGUCUAACAGCAGACGAACGCGUGAACACCGAGGAGUAUACAUUAAACAAAUUUGAAACUAUGAAGUUGAACUAUUCUGAACUAGAAUUCAAAUGGCUUAGCAAAUUGAUGGAAUUCAACGUCAGAGAAAGUAAGGACCUUAUUUGGGAUUGUAUUCAAAGAGCCUCCAAAACGAACCAAGAAUAAAGCAAUGAGUUGUAUAUUCAAUCCUUUGGAUAGGACUACAAAUAGUUUUUCAAUUCAUCGAAAGAUAAGUGCCUAAGCAAACAUUUACUAUAGACAUAUAUUUGUAAUAACCAG